rnacentral:misc_RNA from 1 species
GUUGCUAACCUCAUCGACCGCCGAGAGGAGCUGUCAGUGCGAAAGCCGUUUCAUUUCGCCACUGUUCUGUAUUUUGGUGCCUAGUGUGGUGUACAGUGUCUUCGAGCGCUUUUUGUUUUAUUUAGGUACAAAUUAAAAGUAUAUUUUCAGGAUGCCUUCAGCAGUACCGCCCGCCGAAAAUGGCGCGCCGCGCAGCGAGCUCGAACAGCUGCAAAUGCGAGCUGGUCAGGUUACUGACGAGUCGUUGGAGGCCACGCGGCGUAUGAUGCAGCUAUGCGAAGAGAGUCACGAGGUGGGCAUGAAAACCCUGGUCAUGCUGGAUGAACAGGGCGAGCAAUUGGACAGAAUCGAGGAAGGUAUGGACCAGAUCAACGCGGACAUGCGCGAGGCCGAGAAGAACUUGUCCGGCAUGGAGAAGUGCUGCGGCAUCUGUGUGCUGCCGUGUAACAAGGGAGCUUCGUUCAAGGAGGACGAUGGAACGUGGAAGGGCAACGAUGACGGCAAGGUGGUCAACAACCAGCCGCAGAGGGUCAUGGAUGAGCGCAACGGUAUAGGGCCACAAGCUGGAUACAUAGGAAGGAUAACGAAUGAUGCCCGAGAGGACGAGAUGGAAGAGAACAUGGGCCAGGUGAAUACGAUGAUCGGCAACUUGCGCAACAUGGCGCUCGACAUGGGCUCCGAACUGGAGAACCAGAACCGCCAGAUCGACCGCAUCAACCGCAAGGGCGAGAGUAACGAGACGCGCAUAGCGGUCGCCAACCAGCGGGCGAACAAACUCCUCAAAUCCUAAGAAGCAAUAUAGUAUGCACAACUCUUCUGUUUGUAAAAUGACGCUGCCACAUGUUCAUAUAUUUUUCUCGUACAUUCCUAAACAAUAUAAUUUCAAAAUGAACUUUAUAUAAAAUAAGAAAACGACGAUCUCAUGCCAAUACAUAUCUGUUGAAAGUUCCCAUAAUUUUUUUUUGUGAUUUAUACAAAUUCAACGAAAUCUUAAGGGACCGAAAAUAAUAAUUAUGCAUAAGUACAUAAUCUCAAUAUAUCAACAGUUCCUGUAAAUGAAGAUUAAAAUUAACCAAAGAUAUUUUGUAUGAAAAUAAUAUUAUUCUGUAAAGCCCUGUGUAUUUUAAAAAUAGGUUGCCAAAAGAGUAAAAAGUCCUAAGACAUUGGUAAGCGUCAUUUUAAUUCCAACUUUUAAUGUUCCCACAAUAAAUACGUAUAUUAUAUCUACAUGGUAAGUACAGAUACGUAUAUAAAACAAAAAUGCAAUAAUUAUAACUGAUUAUAAUGUUAAGCUAAAAACGUCUUAGAGACAGUUUUAUUGUUGAUCAUCUAGUUCCAUUGUUGACUGCAUCAAAAUUAAUCUUAAUACUGUACUUACCUAUGUUUUAACGUCAUAUUAGUAUGACAUUGCAAAAUUCAGUAGCUUCAUAUUACUUAUUCUCGUCUAAUUCUCAAGUUAGAUCGAUUAGGGGACGCGGCGUGUGGAAGGAAAAUAAUUCAUGAGAUUUCUUAAACUUGAAGGCAUUAAUUUUUUAUAAAAAAUACUUUCCAUCUACCGUACGUUUUACAUACAAUCUAUCAAAAAAAAUCUUGUAUUUGUGUAAAUCUUCUUCUAAAUUAUUUGCAUUUAAUUUUAAGGAUGUGCCAAAUUAAAUUUUUUCCUUUAAUUUAUUGUCGGCCACGACAAAUGAUACCACAGUGCGCUAAAGCUUUAAAACAUAGUUCAAACAUAAAUUCUUGCUCACCAAUAAUACUUUUGCGUCAUACAAUAGGAAUUAAUAUAAAUUUAAAAAAAUGUGCUUAUAUUUAUUGUGAACUGUGCUUAAUAAUAUAAAAUUGUGCAAGAAACAAGACAUAACAAGAAGUGACUCACUUUUUUAAUAUUUGCUAUUAUUUUAUUUUCACAAGCGGUGCUAUUAUUAAGUUUUAUCAAACGCCAGUUUGGUCUAUUAUCUUCCAAAAAUUUAUGAAACAUCGAAAAGUUAUUUAUAAAUACAAGAUAAAUUAUUAUACAUACCUACCUAUGAAUUAGUGAGGUAAUCGUAUAAACAUAGCUUUAUCGAAUAUAAAAGAAGUACAAUCAAUGAUCAAGAUUCAAUAUUUCAAAUAAACUCUUUUUUUUUUAAUAAUUAUCGUGAUGGAAUUCGAUCCCUGGUUAAUUAAUAAAUAAAUGAAGUCUCCGUAUUUAAUUAAUAGUAUUAUUUUAUAAUUAGUUAGGACUUACCUAUCUCCAUUUUAUCUUAAAGUGGAUGGCAAACAGCGGGUCUACAACCCCUUCUACAUCAUCAGUAGAACUUUAUGUGUCUUACAUGUUACGUUGCUUACCUUAAAAGUUCAUUUAAAUAACAAUAACACUUACCUUUACAUUUGGUCGUAGAUAGGGGGAAGCAGGACCAAUCGGUGCUUAGAAACAUAAUUCCUCAUAGUACAAAACCUUGCUGCUACAGUGGUCUUCAGUGGUUCAAGCCUUUGUUGAAUUCGGCGAAUUUUAUUUUUUUUUUCCUCCCGCCAAUUGAACCUACUCCUCCCCCUCCCUAGAGAAAAUCCAUAGCUACGCUAAUGCUGUAAUAUGCUAAUUGUUAUUUAAAUUAACUUUUUCCGUAUGGAUCGUAAUUUUUCGACUGAUGAUCUUACCUAAAGCGAAUAAACUUUCUGUCAACAAUUCCAACAGUUUCCUUCUUUGUUAGAUUAAGAUAACGGUGCCUGAUUGUGUAGUUGGUUUUGUUUAUAUUUUUUAUAAUAGGUACGUAUGUUGCAUUUAGUAUUUAAGUUACAGAUGGAUGGAGUCGACGCUUCUGAUAUUUUCUAUGUAAGUACGCACGUUUAGGCAUAUUAGCCGAACAAAGUGCUAUGUCCACUACAUAUUUUCCAUUAGAAAGCCUUAAGUUUAUCGAUCGUGAAAGGCUCAAAUAUGGAUGCACGGGAAACGUGUAUUUAUAUGUAAUGUAAUUACAAAAUAUAACGCAAUAGCAUAUAUAAACUAUAUAAUAUAGUUAAAUAUUUAAAUCUCUACGAUUACUUAAAGUGUAUUGUUGUUAAGUACGAUGAUCAAAUGUAUCGGCCUUAGGAGUAAUGUGUAGGAUUGUUAAAGGCAACGGCUUCAAAAAAAUAUAUAAUACUCGUGUACCAGUUAGCGUUAAGAGUUUUUCGGAAAUUUCUCUAUGUCUUUUUCUCUCGAUCGUAUUAGUUUCUAAGAGUAAUAAAUAUCUUAUUAAAAUAUUUUAUUAAAUACAUAUUUUAACAGUGUUGAUAUUGAGCCGUGAGCACAUAGCUUCGUGUAAGUUGAGCCGUAGCAAUAAGGUGUUAAAGGAACGCGACUAUUUUCGUUAAAAUGAAAUAUUGCAAUGCGCUCAUGGCUCCGUAGAAUUGUUUUGUAACGGCCAUUCAAUUAUCCAAUAGAUGUGUAACUACCGCCUGCAUAAUCUGUAUCUGGUUUUAUUCAGCCUAAACUAUUACAUAGUGUUAAAGUAAUAUCUAUUUUCUUUAAGUAAGUAUAGAUAAUGAAUAGUAUAAAAUGUUAAUUUCUAAUUACAUUAUUGAUUUGUUAAAUUAC